CCUUUACCUCCGACGCCGCGGGACCCGCCUACACCCUGAGAACACCCAGUCCCUCGGCGGGCGGGAGCGCGCGGUUUUGCCGAGCCCCGCCCACUGUGUCCAGCCGGGCCUCUGAUUGGAGGGUGGACCCUUACUCUGGUGAUGGGCAGGCGGCGCGACCUAUGGGAGGGCGCGGGGCGGGCUCCGACCACGCAGUAGUGGGAAUCCCAGAGCUGGACGCAGCACUCCAGGCGGUAUCUCAUGAGAAUGGAGUAGAGGGGGAGUACCACUUCCCUGAACCUGCUGGCCACGCUGCUUUUGUUGCAGUCCUGGAUAACAGACUUUCUAAUAUGCAAGUAUUGCUGGCUCAUAUCCAAGUUUUCACCCAUCAGUAUCCCCAAGUCCUCUUCAGUCAACCUAUUUGUCACCAGUCUGUACUAGUACUUCGGACUGUCCCAACCCUAGUUUUCAUGUUUCUGUUCUGUUUUCCCCUACAGGUGCACCAGAUCCAAAGUUGACUUACACAUUCUAAACAAUGCUUAAUGAACUCUCAUAUUCUAGAGGCCCGAGCGUGAUUCUUCUUAGGGAAGCAAAACACGAGAACUAUUUCCUCCCACUCAAAAUAAAGGUGCUGCUGCUAGAAGAGUGUUUUAGGGAAUGUUUUCCCCUCAGGCAGCUUAAGAAUAUUGCAUUUGAUUCCAGCAUAGUGCCAGUUUAUUUUUUUUCAAUAAAACUUCAGAUUUGAUUAAUUCCCUUCAGUCAUUCCUGAAGACUUGGCAAAAGGUCUUCCUCUACUGUAGCAGUACUUUCUGUUAGCAUCACUUAAGAAAAUAAUGUAGGUUUUUCUUCACUAUGUGAAACAACUUCAUAGAAUCAUAGCAUAUCCUGAGUUGGAAGGGACGCACAAGGAUCAUCAAGUGAUGAUCCCGGUCCUGCACAGGAAAACCUCAAGAAUCACACCACGUAUUUGGGAGCAUUAUCCAAACUUUAGAGACAAAUAUAAGGCUGCUUUACAGCUAAAAAUUUCAGGUGUAUAGGUAAGAAGCUAAAGUUUAAUCUCGUGCAAUGAUAAAUGUCUGAUUUAUACAGGUUCAUGUGACUACCCACACUGUACCACUGAACAUUCAAUGGUAUGUUAUCUUCUGGAAACUGGAGAGCAGAAUAAAUAUGAGCAGUGCUUGCAGACAUGUUAGGAAAAGGUUCUUUCAGAUAGAAGUUUUUUGGUGCUCUUCCACUUGUGACUUUUAAAGUACCUUCAUCUUGUAUCAAAUGUCAAACAACAGUGGAAAGAAUCCCUUCCCAGAGAGCUGUUUCCUGUUGCACCACAAUCACACUAUUUACUUCUAUUUGCUACAUCUCAAUUAAAAAAAUUAUUAAUUUCAAAAUUAUCAGAUAAGACCACCUUUGGACUACGCUGCACUUCAGUCAAGUGUGCUAAAUUAUUGCCCAAUCAGACAUUUACUAGAAUCUAUAUGAUGAACUUUCCUUCUCAGCAAAGCUUUAAAGGAAUGAAUCACAAUACAGUUUGUAACAACAACACUUAUUACUCUGUCAAAGCAGCAAUAAUCCAGAACAUGAAUUCUAUCUUUGCUAACCAUGCUACAACUAUAAUCACAAACACACACACACCACCAGGACUAGCCAAAGGACAGCACUAGUGGGGGUGGGAACUGGAUGGGGCAGAAAAGCACCUGGUUAAAAUCCUAGGGCAGCUAGUGCUCACCAUGACAUUUACAUUUAAUCUGAGUCAUUCAUAUCGUAAUCCGUUUCUUCAUCCUCACUCUGAGUGUCAUGCAGCAUGCAGCAAGUAUAGAAAAAGGAAGGGAAAAGAAGAAAUUGCAAGUGAGUCAGAGCUGCAACAAAGUACAGUCCACUUACACCUGAAGCAUCUGGUAAUGAUAUUUAUUUACUUUUACCUGGGACCUCCACUCUUAGUAAAAAAGUAUAACAGCUGGCAAUUUCAAGAACGAACAUAACAGAUUUCAUGAAAAUUUCCUUUUCCAAAUGUCCUAAAAUUAGCAGAUAGAAGCCAAUAGUGCCAUGCAACAUAACAACAGGGAAUGUAAGUAUAGAGAAAAGUUAAAUAAAACUGUAACGCUGGUACCUUAACUCUGUGUACUCUUCGCCAUGGAUGCAAAAGGAUAAUACUAGUAUCUAACUUUGGAUGUAGACAUUAUGAACAAGUUUUGUUUAUUAGUCCCAAGAGUGUUCGGUCAAUAAAGUCAUAUGAAAGAGAAGAAUGCUUGUGGGACAGUGCCACAGCUACCAGUAAAAGCCACUGGAACCAUUCAAGUUCAAUUUUCUUUGCUUAGGUAAAUUACAAGGUUACACAGAAUCAUCUACUAACUUACUGUGCUCACUGUUACCCAAAAAACCAAAACACAAGAAAAAGUCUCUAAGAAGGAAUGAAGGUGAAUAGACGACUAUAAGAAAAUGCUUUUUUCAAUUCUGAAAGUCCAGGACUAUUAACUAAAAUUGAAGUGCUUGUCAACAAAAAUUACAUGCUGGCAGGUUUUUUUUGUCUAACCCAAUCUGCUAUAAAAGUAAUAGGAAGACUUUAUCAUGGCAUCUAAAAGUCAGUCCCAGUACAUAAACAUAUUAUUCUGUAUAUAUCAGUGGAUACCAGAAUUUCAGUCACAUGAACUUCAUGAAGACCAACUCAGACACUACUGAACAGAUUGUAGACUAGAGGAUAAUGCUAAGAAGGAACUAUGGGCAUAACAGCUCCAGAGGUUCAGUCAAGAUUCCUGAACACAGCUGCCAGAAACCUCUCAAGCAAAAUAAUUUUUUUUUCCCUUUUUUUACCAGUCACAACAUAUAUCUAUGUGAAAAAAAUCUGAUCUAUUAGAAACAUAAUAUAUAAAAAUUAUUCUGCGAGUACUGCCUAUUAGUUGCUAGCAACAGCUAAACUCUUCCAGGACAAAAGGAAUGAAUAUUUUUAUCGCCAACCAAAAUUAACAGUAAUUCUUACUCAUCACGCUGGUCAAAUUAUGCUCUGCUCCCAUCUCUGAAACAAUGAUCAAGCAGCACAUCAAUGAAGAGGUCUAAGACAGUUUUUCUCAGAGCUACUCAGUUUACACAGUUGAACUGCAGUCUGAACUAGCUUUUGUAUUUAGCCUUUAACACUUCCAUUUGACACAUAUUUUCUUUUACAUUAAAGAUGCACUGGAACUCUGGCAACUUCUGAAAUUCCCUGAAGAUGUACUACCAUUCCUUAUGAAGAUGUUUAUUAGGCUCUAGAAUUCCAUGGUUUGUUUCAGGCCUCACUGCCAAGACCUGGAUCCAUUAUUUCAAAAUUAAUUUCUUCAAUGGUGAUUCUUGAGAAAGCAACCUUUGAUGUUUCACCAACUGUUUUCCACCUACAUAUAUGAAAUCAAAGGCUUUUGAUAAAGGAGUGUUUAGUUUGUCUGUAGUCAUCUCCUCAUACAAUGCAGCAAUACAAUAAUAAAAGGUGUUCACUA